rnacentral:rRNA from 1 species
GUGGGGAAUCUUAGACAAUGGGGGAAACCCUGAUCUAGCCAUGCCGCGUGAGCGAUGAAGGCCUUAGGGUUGUAAAGCUCUUUCAGAGGGGAAGAUAAUGACGGUACCCUCAGAAGAAGCCCCGGCUAACUCCGUGCCAGCAGCCGCGGUAAUACGGAGGGGGCUAGCGUUGUUCGGAAUUACUGGGCGUAAAGCGCACGUAGGCGGACCAGAAAGUCAGGGGUGAAAUCACGGGGCUCAACCCCGGAACUGCCUUUGAAACUCCUGGUCUUGAGGUCGAGAGAGGUGAGUGGAAUUCCGAGUGUAGAGGUGAAAUUCGUAGAUAUUCGGAGGAACACCAGUGGCGAAGGCGGCUCACUGGCUCGAUACUGACGCUGAGGUGCGAAAGCGUGGGGAGCAAACAGGAUUAGAAACCCUGGUAGUCC